rnacentral:lncRNA from 1 species
GAAAGAGAGAGCUGUGCUGGAAGGCCUUGGUCCAUUUCAGGAAAGUUGGUGAUGGUCUGGCGAAGAAAUUGGCCAGAGAGAUGGUUCUGAGACAAGGCUCUGAAACUUAUAUCUGGCAUGCAAGGGGCCCAGGCAUUUGUGUGAAAUGACCUGAGAGCGCUAUGAGGGCAAAUAAAUUACUGGAGCCCCAGAGUGGGAAUAAAGAAGCAAAUGACUAGGAGCAGGGUCCAGUAGUACCUGCUUGCAAACCGCUCUCAAAGGCCAUGCAGGACCAGAGAGUACAUCUGUGGUCACCAGCCCUAAGCCCAGAUCAGAUCAGCCCCUUGAUUACAGAAAUGAGCCGCACUGUUGACAUGCAAGCCUAUUUCAAAACUCUAUUUCCUGCCUCUCACCUGGCAGCCAAAUGGGACGUGAGGCUGCCGUGGGAGAAGGUGGUGGGAAUGGCACUAUUUGCCGAAAAGACAGCUGGAUGGAUGUCCAAAACAGACCAUUUUGACUGGAAGAGACAAAGAGACUGUUAAUGGUUAAACACUAACACCUCUUCCCAACUCCACCCUAACCUCAGUCUACUGAGCACAGAGAAGACUGGGAGAAAUACUGGAGUAGGUACCAAAAGUUAAAGAAAUGCAGGGAGUUCCCGUCGUGGCUCAGUGGUUAAUGAAUCCGACUAGGAACCAUGAGGUUGCGGGUUCGAUCCCUGGCCUUGCUCAGUGGGUUAAGGAACAGGUGUUGCCAUGAGCUGUGGUGUAGGUUGCAGACAUGGCUCGGAUCCCACGUUGCUGUGGCUGUGGUGUAGGCUAGCGACUACAGCUCCAAUUAGACCCCUAGCCUAGGAACCUCCAUAUGCCGCAGGUGUGGCCCUAAAAGGACAAAAAGACAAAAAAAUAAAAAAUAGAUUUCCGUAGAAAUUCAACAUAAUUGUACUACCACAUACAUGCAAACUAUGCUUUUUUCCCUGAGAUCCUUGAACAGAACCCUGUUCCCCUUAUGUUCAGAAAAGGUUGUCAGCAUUUUUUCAUCACAACUCACAAAACAGCAGCUAUCAUAUCAUGUUCAGUUUAGAAAAAGAACCUCUUGGAGCUCCUGUUGUGGCGCAGCAGCGGAAACGAAUCCGAGUAGAUCCAUGAGGAUGUGGGUUCAAUCCCUGGCCUCACUCAUUGCCAUGAGCUGUGGUGUAGGUUGCAGACACAGCUUGGAUCCCUACAUUGCUGCGGCUGUGGUGUAGGCUGGUAGCUGUAGCUCUGAUUCGACCCCUAGCCUGGGAACCUCAAUAUGCCACAGGUGUGGCCCUAAAAAGCAGAAAAGAAAGAAAAAGAGCGUCUUUAUGGUAUCUCCCUCCUUCUCUUCCAUUCUGGAUCACAGGGAAUGGAAGAGCCACCAGCUCAGGCUGCUUUCAAAAUCACAGAUGUCAUUUAUCCCCCUAAAAAUUAACCAUCUUCUAGGAACCACAUCAUUUUUUUCUCAUAUGAGCUGUUAUCAUGUUCUCCUCCUCCUCUUUUAUCUAAUAUUGAUUUUUGUUUCUCCUCCCCUCCCCCCAACGCAAAGCAUAAACUUUAAUGAUGAAAUUUCAUGCUCAGCCAGCUUCUUUAUGGCCACUUAAAACAUCAGUGAGGUUAUAUACCCGCUCUUGCGAACACUGCUGCCUGUUUCUUACUGUGUCGGGCGGCUGAGGGAAAGGAGUGGUCAAGCCCUAAGCAGCUGAUCCCUUCCACCCUGGAACUUGCUCUCUAUCCAGCACAUAACAUCCAUUCUUGUAUAUGAAGAAUAAGAGAGAGUGACUUCCAAGUUUCUGUAUUUGGAGACUUCGGUUUAAAAUUUCUCUAUGAUUUUAUUCAUUCAUUCUUUCAUUUUCAUUCAUGAAAGCUAAUUCAUAAUCUUGCUUAAUUCUUUUAUUUAUCUUUUGUUCUUGGUUCCCUCUACUAUUUUUUUUUAAACAACUCUUAGUUUCGACAUACUGCAUUUUUUUUGUAUAAGUACAUUCUUCUCUGCAUCUUUCUUUACACUAUCUCUUACAUCCAAAACAAGAUGUCUCUAUAGCCCUGUGAUUUUUUAAACAAGAGCAUAUCUCCUCACUUUUUUCCAUAAUCCUUGAAAUUAGUGCAUGCAGUAAACCUCACAUUCAGAUAUAUGUCUCACACUCUAGUAACAUUUAGCUAUAGAAAAUAAUUUUAUAUCACAUAUUAAACUAUUUGUAUUUUAAAUUUCUCUUUUGCCUAGGUUAAGCUCACUUAAAAACCUUUGUGAGUUGCAGUGUAUAAACAUGCUAAUUGGGAAUUCCUGUUGUGGCUCACUUGGUUAGGAAACCGACAAAGUGUCUGUGAGGAUGCAAGUUCUAUCCCUGGCCUCCCUCAGUGGGUUAAGGAUCCGGCAUUGCUAUGAGCUGUGGUUUACUGUUACAAAUGCAGCUCGGAUCCCACAUUGCUGUGGCUGUGGCUGUGGCUGUGGCUGUGGCUUUGGCCAGCAGCUGCAGCUCUGAUUCAGCCCCUAGCCUAGGAACUUACAGAUGCUGCAGAUGUGGCCCUAAAAUAAGUAAACAAACAAACAAAUAUGCUAAUUGCAUUAUGCAUCUAGUAGCAUUAUGGUUUAAACUGGUGGGUCUAAAACUAAAGAGGAGGACUAUGUUUUAUCAAUGGCUGCAUGAUCUUGGAUGAGUCACUUAAACUUUUUAAGCCUUAAUUUCCUCUGGAAAAUCGACAAGGUAUUAUUUUACCGACAGCUUGAAGAACCAACAAGACUGUUUUACUAACAAGACUGUUGUGAGGAUUAAAUGAGAAAGGGUGUAAGUAAGAUCUUUAAAAAAAACAAAGCAUGUAUAUAUUAUAAUAUGUAUGUAAUAUAUAUAUUAUAAUAUAUAUAUGCUUUGCUGUACACCUGAAACUAAAAUGUUAUAAACCAACUAUACUUCAAUAAAAAUUUAAAAAGUAAAAUAAAACAACAAAGUAUGGCCAAGCAGAGUUCUUUUUGAUCAUUUCACCCUUAGAAAAACAAAAGCAAGAAACCACAGAGACUGAAUUAUUAAUUCAGAAUAAAAGAAAAGUAUUUCUUUUAAAUAUUAUUAUUAUGAAUGCAUUUUAAGAUGUUUAUUUUUGCCUGUAACCAGACCUGGCAUCACCUUAAUAAGAACGCCUGGACUAUAUUUCUCUAUGAAUUAAAAAUAACAAAAGAUAUCACAUGAAGGAGGGAGUUGUAAAUUAAGCAUAUUUUAUAUAUGCUGUAAGCUUUGUGUAACAUUUCUUGUAAGCUCCUUCUCCACCUAAAUGUUUUCCUUGCUGCCCUGUACCUCCUGAUGUAAGAGGAAACUAACUAGUAAAACAAAUGCAAGCAAACAAUUUAGAAUUAAGUAGCCCCUGUUACAUGACUUGCUUUUUAGGGUACAGAAGCAGUGUAAGGUAAGAUCUCUAUUCUCAUUGAGUCUACAUGCUAUUAAAAAUUAUAAAAUGGCAUAAUCUCAGGGAUCUUAGAGUUCUGUAAAUAACCCAUCUAAUACCCAAAUCCCCUCUAGAUCAGGCUCCCCGAUCCGCUGUUUGGCCAAUUCUUAAAUACAACCUGUGAUAGGAAUAUUCUGACAUCACAAGCUGGCCUAUUUUUCCCUUUUGGCUGCUCUGAGUGAAAAUUUUCCUUACAUUAAUGUUUCCAGUAGUAUCUACCUCUCCUUCUAAAUUCUACACUUUGGGGCUAUACAUUUAAAUGAUUUUUUUGUGAAACUGAUGAGUGAAAGCAUUAAGUGUUCAGAGAAUGGAAGGUGGAAGUUAGGACUAUAGCAGGGAAUAAAAGCUUGACCUGGGUUUAGAAGAAUGCCCAGGAUUUAAAUAAAAUGGACCAAUGCAUAAUCCAAUACAGGGAAGAACAUAGUCAGGGCUCUGAGGCAAAAAAUGAGGGUGAGAGGCUCAAAGAUCCUCUCUCGGAGGACGAUUUGCACUUUGGGAGGAGCUAACUGCACAGAUUAACUCUUUAAUUAGAAUGGAGGACUAGGUCUAAGGGAUGGUAAAUAUGGCAGCACUUCUGCAAAUUUCACUUGACCUUUAAACUCUCCCUCUGAAAAGGAGGGUGACAUUCCAACAUUUGGAAGUCCAGGAAUGCUUCAGAAUGGAAUUUUUGUUUUAGGUAGUAAUUUCGUGUACUGUCACCCACUGAAAUUUGUAGCAGCCUUGUAUUUUUACAUGUCAGGGGACAACUGAAUUGUGUAUCUGGCCCUAUUAUUUCGAUAAACUUAGACAACUAAUUAAUCACAGAUGGUUGUGGUGGGUUGAGAAAUCCAGACUUGCAGAGCUCCUAUGGGAAGAGGUGAGAGAAGUCACCUCUUCUAAAGCAGUUGUCAACCAGUGACCACCGCUGAGACCCAGAGAGGGAGUGAAUUUUUGGUAGCAGUGACCAGCAAGUCUGUAUGCAAGAAACUCAGGAAGCAUUCACAGUGUCAAGGGAUAUGUACACAUUUUAAAAUUCAGAGUAAAGCAAAAUGAUACUGACUCACAGAGCAAGGAGGAGAUUGCCUCAAAUAAAAUACAGAGAUAAGAAUUACAUCCCUAUUUUAACCUAUACUCUGUCUUCCAAACCAUUCUUGAAUUGUUUUGGCAAUUUUUCCAAUCAUCUUAGAAAAGACUUUCAAAUGUAAUAUUUUCCCUCCUAGACCGUGAAAUUUGCACCUUCUGAAGAUACACACAAAUCUUAUUAGGUUCAGGAGACUACGAAAAACUCAUCUUUUUGCCCAAUGUAUACACCCACCCCUCCAAAAAAAGAAACACACGAAAGGUAAGGAGUUAAAGUCCACAGGUUGACGGCUUGGAAAAUCCAAUAGAAAAAUUGUGUAGAAAGGUUUAUUGAACAAAGAAGAUGUAAGAAGAUAAACCUUCUUCUUAAAGAAGUGCUGUAUAAGUGCACCACCAUUCUCUGUAACUUUACUAGCCUCAAUAGUUUGGCUGUGAACUUAAUCAAUAUCCAACUAUGAUAUGGAGUUUCAAGUUCUCUAUUUGACAAGUGUGUGUAAUACUCUGUAGAAUGGAGAGAUUCAUAUGUUAGAACUCUAAACAUGAAGCAAGUAUUUUUGUUUAUAUGUGUUUGUUUUCCUUAGUAUUUUUCAUUGGCACUAAACUAUGUAAAUAUUAUCACACAGCAUUUGAUACUAAAAGAAUAUACCAGCAAUGGUUGCUAUUUCAAAUUUUCAGGAUUCUGUCUUAAUUCUACAAUAGGACUUUGUUUGUUUCUUCCUGUUGCAGUGACAACACUGGAUCCUUAACCCAGUGAGCCACCAGAGAACUCCAGGAUGUUGAAAGUUGCUGAAUGACUUAUUUACAAGAGUAGCCACCAUUUAUUGAGGCUUACUAUGUGCCAAGCACUGUGUAGUUUCCAAACAUUUGCCUCAUUUAAACCACAAGACAACUCAAGAGGUAAGUUCUGAUGUCCCUAAUAUACCAAUGAGGAAUUGAGACUCAAGUGAUUAAAAUAGAACACAUUUGAAGUUGUCUAGCAGUAGAGUUGGAGACAGAUUUCAAUCCCAGCUUGUCAGACCCUAAAGCCCUCACUGUACUCACUGACUCUUGUCACCUGCUGAACAAUAUGACUAGUCAUUAUCCUUCCUGUGCUUCCAUUUCCUCGUCUGUUAAAUGGGGAUGAUGUGAUAGCAGCCCUGGAAAAUCCAUACAGUCCAAGUGAAAAGGGAAUAACACUGUGAAAGGGAUUGGUCAAGGAUAGAGCAUAAAAAACUUUUAACACUGCUGCAUCUAUUAGUAUUUCACUAAAGUAAAAUGAGGAGUUUUCACAAGUUGAAAGCUCUCCUUUGACCAAAUUUUUAACACGAAAACAUCUUCUAAGGUUUCUGUCAGUCCUGCUGAUAUGUGGUUGACCCACUUCAAGAGCAGGUAGCUAUACAUGUGAAGUGAUUCCUGGGGCACCGCUUUCUGUGGCCUACAGAUGUCAGAUAUAUCACAGGGGAGCUUAGGGAAAAUCUCAGCAAGGCUUACAAGAAACAGAGAAUGGCCUCUAAAAGCAAAUAAAAGAGCUGGUAUUCCACUGGCACUAGAGAAAUUUAUUAGUUGUGAAUAUACUGGAAGAUUUUGACUUUGACUGCAGAAAUAAAGCCACUGCCUUGCGCUUCCUAGUGCAUCCGUUCCAUCCCCACUUCUAAGCCAUAGCCACCAUAGGCCCUGUUCUUGGACCUCUGGAACCUCCCAUGCUCCCACAGCUAAACUAACCUUGAGCCCAUUUAGGGGUCUUUGGGUUCUGGACUGUAAUUCAUCCUGUUUUAAUUAGUUGGUCUUCAAGUCAUUCUGGGCUUUAAAUAUUUUUUAUAUAAACCCUGGAAAUACUCCUGACGAAAGGUAACAUUUCAAACCUUAUCACUGAUAUGUUUGCACUUUAUUUUGAAUGAGAGUUAGUGGAUUGUUUUCCUUAGUAGGUAGGGGAGUUGGUCUCCAAGCUUCCAGACUGUGUCCAUUACCAUUUUCCUAGGGAGGUGUGGAAGGGGUAUGCUGUUUUGUCUGUGCUUAUUUGCUUGUUGCCUCUCCUCAAGCGUAAGAACUUUUUUUCCCCUUAUAUCUAAUACAGGGACUCAAACAGUAGUGACACUGAGAUAAAGCAUUAACACUGGGGCAAGAUUAUGGGGAGGAUGCAGGAGGACAGACCGUGAAUAGGGGAAAAUAGCAGGCCUACAGGUGUUGUCCCAAAUGUAACCCAGCUAACCUUACAGUACCAGGUGGAACUCCCGAUGUUCUCAACAUUUGUUGACAGUCUACUUCCAUUUAUGCUCUGUGUUAGUAUAGAUUCAUUUAAACACUCCUGGUUUUUUGUUUGUUUGUUUUCUUGUUUUUUAGGGCCACACAACCUGUGUCAUAUGGGAGCUCCCAGGCUAGGGGUUGAAUCAGAGCUGCAAUUCCUGGCCUAUGCCACAGCCACAGCAACACGGGAUCCAACAGGUGUCUGCAAACUAUACCACAGCUCAAGGCAAUGCCUGAUGCUUAACUACUGAGGGGGCUAGGGAUCAAACCUACAUCCUCUUGCAUACCAGUUGGGUUCACUACCACUGAGCCACAAUGGGAACUCCCUAAACACUCGUGUUUCAUACCAUAAUUGAGAAAACUUUGGGAUUUGCCUUAGAGAUAGCACAGGACUCGAUAUCCGAGAGACCUGAUUUUAA